rnacentral:tRNA from 1 species
GUCUCUGUGGCUCAGUUGGAAGAGCGUUGGUCUCAUAUUACCCAAUAGAUAUGACUUGGCUUGAAGCCAGGGACAUCCAAAGGUCGCAAGUUCGAGCCUUGCCAGGGACA